ACGUAGGGGGCUAGCGUUAUCCGGAAUUACUGGGCGUAAAGGGUGCGUAGGCGGUCUUUCAAGUCAGAAGUGAAAGGCUACGGCUCAACCGUAGUAAGCUUUUGAAACUGUAAGACUUGAGUGCAGGAGAGGAGAGUGGAAUUCCUAGUGUAGCGGUGAAAUGCGUAGAUAUUAGGAGGAAUACCAGUUGCGAAGGCGGCUCUCUGGACUGUAACUGACACUGAGGCACGAAAGCGUGGGGAGCAAACAGGAUUAGAUACCCUGGUAGUCCACGCCGUAAACGAUGAGUACUAGCUGUCGGAGGUUACCCCCUUCGGUGGCGCAGCUAACGCAUUAAGUACUCCGCCUGGGAAGUACGCUCGCAAGAGUG
rnacentral:rRNA from 1 species